UACGUAGGGGGCAAGCGUUGUCCGGAAUCAUUGGGCGUAAAGAGCGCGUAGGCGGUCCGGUAAGUCCGCUCUGAAAGUCCGGGGCUCAACCCCGGGAGGCGGGCGGAUACUGCCGGGCUAGAGUCCGGAAGAGGCGAGUGGAAUUCCUGGUGUAGCGGUGAAAUGCGUAGAUAUUGGGAGGAACACCAGUGGCGAAGGCGGCUCACUGGACUGGUACUGACGCUGAUGCGCGAAAGCGUGGGGAGCAAACAGG
rnacentral:rRNA from 1 species